UGAAGCGUAGAGAGGGGAGGUCACUGGUCUGAGAUAGCUGGCUGCAGCCUCUCUGCAGAUGGCCAGGACUAUUAUGUUGCUUUUGGGAAUAUGAGGACAACUGGGGCACAGGUUAGGAGGUGGUAAGACAGACCCUGGUGUUUUGUGGCUCCUACUGUGGGCCAGGCCACCGGCUACAUGUUGAGGCCCUACUGUGGGCCAGGCCACCGGCUGCAUGUUGAGGCCCUACUGUGGGCCAGGCCACCGGCUGCAUGUUGAGGCCCCAGCAGUGACCUGGAUGGACAGACACCCCACCCUCAAGCUGUGGUGGAAACAGAGGGCCUCGGGUUACGUCGGAGAUCCGUUCCCGCGGCGCGACGUGAUGCGAUUUUCACCGUAGUCGGAACCCACCCACAUAAGCACCUACGUCACUCACAUGGAGCACACACACAGCAGUAAUGAAGUGAAACAGUAAAAGGAUUUAAAAGAAAGAUAACAAUUCCUGAC